rnacentral:lncRNA from 1 species
GAAUCAUUACAGAGACUCAGCCAAAGCCCUGUAAUUAAUUAGUUAGAAAAGCAUCUCGGUGUUAUUAGAGAGGCCUCAGCAGAGGAAGUGACACCUCCGUUCUUGCAGACUCACCUUCCGCCAGAGCUGCUGCUGCGAUGUUUGACAUUGGGCUGGUGCAAACAGAACCUGGAAGUCGGUGCAGUAGGGAGAGGAGCAGCUUGCAGGCUCUGCCCUUGGCCAGCGCUGUACUGCAUGCCGGGAGGGCUCCGUGCAGACAUCAGAUCCUGGAAAUGGCUCAGGCCACUGAUACUGUGGAUGCAUGAAACGACUUGACUAAAGAUCUGGAAAAGUUUUUCCGACUCCCAGCUAAGCCUUGCAAUGCCUCCGUGCAGUCAGUAACAAACCGUCUCCACUGCAAGGAGGAGAGCACAUGGAGCGAAUGGAAAAAGAGGGUAAGAUUGCCACUUGUGGCAAAGGGAGGGCAGAGGCAAAAAAGGGACCCCACGUGUCAUCUUCCCAGCAAGAGGUGCUGACCCCUGGAAAGCAGUACCUAAAGGGGGGCUGUAAGAAAGAAGGGGAUGGGCUUUUUUAGCAGGGUCUGAUGUGACAGGACAAGGGAAAUGGUUUCAAACUAUAAGAGGGGAGAUUAAGACUGGAUAUAAGGAAGAAGUUUUCUACACUGAGGGGUAGUGAGGCACUGGCACAGGUUGCCCAGAGAGGUGGUGGUGCCUCGUCCCUGGAGACACCCAAGGUCAGGCUGGACGGGGCUCUGAGCACCUGAUGGAGCUGUAGGUGCCCCUGUUCAGUACAAGGGGUUGGGCCAGAUGGCCUUUAAGGGUACCUUCCAACUCAAACGGUUCCAUGGAUCUGAAAUGUAAAGGUAAUGCCACCCUGGGGCUUCUGGUUCCUUCCUUAUUUUCUAAAGGAUCAUAUAGUCAUGAUGAGAAAUGUGGACAAGCAGUAGACCAGAAAGAAAGUUUGAGCUGAGAGCUUUCAAUACCAGUGAUCGCUUCACGGGUAGUUGCCUAUACCCAUAACAUGAAGCCAAAAGAAUCAUAUCACAGAAUCACAGAAUGGCUUAGGUUGGAAGAGACCUCAAAGAUCACCGAGCUCCAACCCCUUGCCACAGAAUGGCUCGGAGACCAGGAACACACAGCCAAGAGAAAAGCCCAGUGGGCAUAAGCAGC